rnacentral:lncRNA from 1 species
AUGACAGCCAUGCUUAAAGCCGAUUCGUGCUUUAUGUCAGAUGGGCCAUCGCCGACUGAAAUUCUCGACAGGAAUACUUUUACGUGUUUUACAAUGGUACUUAUCCCAUAUUUAAAUACCUACCAAAAUAUUAAUUUAUGUACAGUCAUACAUAUUCACAUUUUUUUAAUAAAAAAUAUCGAAAAUAAUCAUUUAUUUCUAACAGAUACUGAUUUGAAGAUUUUUGUUAGGAAUAAAUAUGGAAUGUGUCAUGACAGAGUCAACAAAUCUUAUGCUCUUGCAAAAAAACUUUUCAUUUUUUGAUCGAUCCGUGUAUAAGCUGACCCUCCCCCUCUUCAAAAAAUUUUUGGAAAAAAUUCCUCAGCUUAUGAGUAUAUAUGGCAAUUGUUAAAAUCUGUAAAAUCUCCCUAGUCCAUAAAUUAACAUCAUUUUAAUAUUGAAAUUGCAAGGAUGCCCGACAUUUAUAUAUAUAUAAUUUUGGUUUAAGUAAACUUAUAUUAGUGUGAAUUAAAAAUGCCAAAUCACAUGAGCUACUUUCGGUUGCAGCCACUUUUAGAGUUUAAGACAGGUUGGCCAACACAACCUGAUUGGACUAGAAGAGGAACGCUGUUCAAUCCAUCAGUCAUAAAUCCCGAGGAUAUGAUUAACGGGUAAGUUAAGGUGGAUUUAUGAUUGAUGGUUUAUAGAUUUUAUGGAUAAGUUAACAAUAAACCAUGGUAGAAGUAUCAUUUAUCCAUAUAACAUUUCAGUUAUGAUGAGUUAUUAUACGGUGAUGUUGUCGUGUCAUUAUUCCUGUCAUACACUAUUAUUAGAGAAUGGAAUGUGGCAUUAUUUAUUGACAAAAAAAAAAUAUGUAACACUAGACACAUUAAAAUUUCCAGAUAUGUAUCAGUAUCAAUAGUUUCUUUAAUUAUUUCCAUCUUCCUAACAUCUUUCCAGAUCAUAUAAU